rnacentral:rRNA from 1 species
UACGAAGGGGGCUAGCGUUGCUCGGAAUCACUGGGCGUAAAGCGCACGUAGGCGGAUUGCUAAGUCAGGGGUGAAAUCCUGGAGCUCAACUCCAGAACUGCCUUUGAUACUGGCGAUCUUGAGUCCGGAAGAGGUAAGUGGAACUGCGAGUGUAGAGGUGAAAUUCGUAGAUAUUCGGAAGAACACCAGUGGCGAAGGCGACUUACUGGACACAUAUUGACGCUGAGGUGCGAAAGCGUGGGGAGCAAACAGG